GAUGAACGCUGGCGGCGUGCCUAAUACAUGCAAGUCGAGCGAACAGACGAGGAGCUUGCUCCUCUGACGUUAGCGGCGGACGGGUGAGUAACACGUGGAUAACCUACCUAUAAGACUGGGAUAACUUCGGGAAACCGGAGCUAAUACCGGAUAAUAUAUUGAACCGCAUGGUUCAAUAGUGAAAGACGGUUUUGCUGUCACUUAUAGAUGGAUCCGCGCCGCAUUAGCUAGUUGGUAAGGUCACGGCUUACCAAGGCAACGAUGCGUAGCCGACCUGAGAGAGUGAUCGGCCACACUGGAACUGAGACACGUUCCAGACUCCUACGGGAGGCAGCAGUAGGGAAUCUUCCGCAAUGGGCGAAAGCCUGACGGAGCAACGCCGCGUGAGUGAUGAAGGUCUUCGGAUCGUAAAACUCUGUUAUUAGGGAAAAACAAAUGUGUAAGUAACUAUGCACGUCUUGACGGUACCUAAUCAGAAAGCCACGGCUAACUACGUG
rnacentral:rRNA from 1 species